CAUGGCUAAGCUUGCUGUAAUCAAUAUUUACCACAUUUACAAUCUGGUACAUUGACCAACCCAAUAAUUAAUUCAUAUUUCAUAAUUUAAAACUGCUGUCAAGCGAGGAAAAAUCACAUUAUCUCGACAGACGGACACAACAUUGUCGAAAAUAUGGAGAAGAACGAGGACCUUUGCGAAAUCCCGGUGUGGACAAAGGCCCUCAUGAAUCCGCUGAUUUUAAACAGGAUUUUCUCCCAUCUGAAUUUCGCCGACUUGAAGAAUUCCGUCCGAAUCGUCUGCACCGUUUGGGCCGACCUAAGUGCCUCGCAUCUUGGGCGUCUGUGUUGCCUCAGGGUUUCACAUAAUCACCUGAAAGAUAUGACCUCAUUCAACCCUAAACUGAUCAGGAAUAUUUCCCUCCACCUGAAGACAGACUCGAAGCUAACGGGCAGCUCUGCUGGCGUACUGAAUUAUCGGUACACCGACGCUGUUACCGUGGUGCCCGAAAUACCAAAGCUUUUGACCCACCUUAUCAUACACUUUGACACAAGAAGUCUACCAAAACUGGGGGAAAUGUGGGGCACCUUCAUCUUCCGGGACCGGUUGGGCAUGCUGGUUGAGAAAUGGGGGGUGACGAGGUCCUGGGGGCGCCAGAAUUUCGACCCUUCCCAAAUCUUAAGGGGCUCACCUUCACAAGUCACGAUAACCCCCUUCAAACCGUCAUCUCGGGGGGUGCAAGCACCAUUCUGCAAGGGCUGCUAAACUCUGCUCCUAACCUGGAAGAGGUAAAUAUGACGAUAGAUUUCUACCCGGACUUCACCUCGUGCAAAAACCUCCGGAUUUUGACCUUCAACUGUAUUGGGCUACACAAAAUUACGCUUUCUGACCCUUCCGCUAUUUCAAGAAUGAUGGAUACUUGCUCAAAUUCUGUAGUUCGGUUAACUUUGAGUGGUUUCUAUAAAACUUUGAGCCUUGCACAGGUGUUUGCAAAUGUUUAAAUGGAUCCAUGACUCAGAGGUCGACGCCGCCGAUCGUACGCCGCCGCGCCGGCGAUCGUACGCCGCCGAACGCCGGUAGCAUUUUACGCGUCGCCGCAGGCGAAAAAUUUGAUUUUCUAUACCCUUAGCUUUGCGACGCCGCGCCGCGCCGCCGACGCCGCCGAAAAAUCACCAAAAACUGGCGCCGCCGCCGCCGAAAAUUUGUCGGCGUCGCCCUCUGCCAUGACUCGUCCGUUUAUAACAAAUCGCUACUUUUUAUUUUUAAUCUAGAUUCCAAACUUUAGCGCCCCGAACGUCACCCACCUUACAGUCAAAACGGAUGGGGGAAUUAUGUUUGAUUUCUUGGACGUUGCUAGUCUCCCAAAACUUUCCCACUUCUCCAUCCAAGGGAUAAUGUGUGACAACGCUAUGUGGAGAAUGUAUCAAAAUUGUCACCGGCCGCAUUAUGGCAUAAGUAAGCUCGAAAUCAAGUGCUUUCACUGUGCCGCAGAGGAUGUACAAGGUUCCGCCAAAAUCGCGACGCUCUUCCCAUGUGUUACUGAGUUUGGAAAUGCUAUGUUAUCCGGGAACUUUGGAACAUUUGAGGGGAAUUUUUAACUCUUUUCGGGAAUGGAAGUUGACGAAGGGGGAGAUCGAAAUCGGAGCGAUUAGAUGCUUGGACUCCUUAGCGGCUGUGUUGGAGGGAAUGGCGGGAUGGCGAGGUUUGCAAAAUACGGAACUUCACUUCAAUGGGGGCUUGAUUCAUGCCUUAUCGGACCGGGUUCGUGACGCCCUCAUUUCAUGCGGUUCGAUCCGGCAUAUUUAUAUGGAUCAACUUUGGAUGGACGAGAAGAUUCGGGACAAUUUUAAGGCAUUUACAGUACCAAGGAAUUUACCUAUUUCGCUUUAGGCAUCUACAGACCUUACAUUGAUAUUGUUUUAAGCGUAAUAAUGUAAAAUGUAAUUAUCGUAUGUAGAACAAAUAUAAUGCAUGUAACGAAUAGGUGAAAUCAAGAACUUUUAUUCUUAAUUUUAAAUCAAAUAUUUUGGAUAAAGUGUGUGCCCUUCUUGUUGAUUUAAACAAAAAAA